AUCACUUGGACUCUUUACUUGCAAUUUUAGGGCCAAUGUCUUUGCUGUCUUUAUGGAGCAACAGAAUUAAUACUGCCAACUCUAGGAAGCACCAGGAAUUUAUUGGUCGUUUGAACUCUGUCAACAAUAAAGCUGAGCUAUAUCAACAUCUGAAAGAAGAAAAUGGAAUGGAAACGACGGAAAAUGGAAAAGCAGGCCGGCAAUGAUGAUUAAUAUUGUUUCUUUGGACAAAACUUGGCCGAAAUGCAAAAAUAUUUAAUGCUGGAAUUGAUAUUGGUACCACUUCAGUACAAUUGUAUAGCUCUGUUUUGAUUGGUUUUUACAUUUUUCUAUUAUUUUUGCUAUAAAAUAUGAAAUCUGCAUAUCACAUUAAAUGAAUAGUGUGCAAAUAGGAGCUGUCCUGAAGUAUUUUAUAGUCGUGUUUUUAGGACAAAAAACCCCUGUGCUGCCAUGGACUAAAUCAAGUAAUCAAAAAUGUUAGUCAGAGGUUAAAGUCUUUUCCCACAAGCAUUGUUUAACAUCUCAAAAUCAGUGAUGACUGUUUUUAAAAAAAAAUAAAAUUCAAGAAAUAUAUAGUUAACUGAUAA